rnacentral:lncRNA from 1 species
GGAUGGAGUACUGCUCCAGUUUCACCAAAGUCCUUUUUCUCUUCCAGCUCUAGGAAGGAGGUCCUCAAGUUACCAGUCCCUGAAAAGCCGCAUGGAACUUUUGAGGAAUCCGCUACUUGGCUUUGUUCUGGUAUCUAUAGCCCCAGAUUCCCAUCAGAAAAGGACAGCAUGUAUAAGAAGACAGGACAUUGGGACUCAUAAUGCAAAGCAUCUUCACUGUAUCAGAUAAAUGAAUCAAGGCAGAAGAAAGAAAUUUCAUUCCUCAUAAAGCAGAGCAGAAGUUGACUGAGAUAAGGGUGAUUCAUUCACCAUGGCUGAUUUUAAAAUUUCUUUUUAG